GGUUUUGGAAUGUAGAUGUUUGAAACAAAUAUGUAUAAAUAAAUGAGUUGCUGAUAACUUAGUUAUUGACCUGAUAACUUAGUUAUUGGUAGCUUGUUAAAGAAACUUCA
rfam:Camelus ferus unplaced genomic scaffold scaffold224, whole genome shotgun sequence.